rnacentral:lncRNA from 1 species
AAGUAGUUUUUCUCAUGACUCUUCAAUUGCCUGAACCCAUAGGCUGUGACCUUCUCAUGCUGCAUCAGAACACAACCCAACCCGAGGUAGGAGGCACCACUAUAGAUUAUAUAUCCACCCGACCUGCUCGGCACGACCAACACAGGUGCAGUAGUCAACCGUUUCUUUAGUUCUGAAAAACUCCUUUCACAUUUCUCGUUCUACU